GUGUACUGUAAAGCGCGGUCGGCUUUCCAGAACCCCAGGGCUUUUACAAGCUGGGCAGGCCACUGCUCUUUCAAUGGAGGAGGGAGGCAGAGGGCUGAUGGAUGAGUGAAUUUGCAGCUGAAACUAGGCCUUGAGACCUAUGGGAUCCUUCUGUGCUGUAGCGAGGCCCUGCCAUCCUGACCAGAAGUGGUGAGCCCAUCCUAUCUCACUCGGAGAGGGCCAAAAUCGGAUCUCAACGGGAGUCCAGAGAACACAGCAGACGUCCUGAAGCUCCCGCUCCCUCGGUGGAAGUCGGCUCAAGCAGGUCCUGAGGACAGGACCCCUGGCGGUUUGGGCCUGGGACAGGACGAGACACCCGCGGCCCCCUCUCCCACGCCGCCCGAAAGAGGACCCAGGAUUCAUCCGCCGCCGUGGCGGUAGCAGGAGCAUCGCGGCAGCCGCCCAUCGGUGGCGAUAUUUAAAGGGGACGCAGCCUAUCUGUCAAGAGUGGAGCGCGAGUCGGCUCAGCCAAUGCGCAUGCGCGAGGCGCGAGCGGUUUCUCCCGUCACAGUGGUUCCCACGGUUGUCUUAGAAACCAGGCCCCGAGGCUUGGCAGAGCAGGAGCCCUCCGUGGUAGUGCUUGGGUGUCCAGGCUCUGAGGCUAGGGCCUCACCUCUCCCCGGGUGGAAGGGAACGUCUCCGGAUGCCAAAAGUCGCAAUGGGCCGACCAUGAUGAUGAAACCCCAGGCGGAGACGGGGGAAGCAGCACGGGAUCCCAGCCUCAGGCCUUCACGGACGUUGUUGGUUGGGGUGUCCUGUUUAGCGCGGUCGGCUUUCCGGAACCCCAGGGCUUUUAAAGGCCGGGCAGGCCACUGCUCUUUCAAAGGAGGAGGGAGGCAGAGAGCUGAUGGAUGAGUGAGUUUGCAGCUGACACUAGGCCUUGAGACCUAUGGGAUCCUUCUGUGCUGCAGCGAGGCCCUGCCGGCCUGACAACAAGUGGUGAGCCCAUCCUAUCUCACUCGGAGACGGCCAAAAUCGGAUCUCAACGGGAGUCCGGAGAACACAGCAGCCGUUCUGAAGCUCCCUCUCCCUCGGUGGAAGUCGGCUCAAACAGGUCCUGAGGACAGGACCCCUGGCGGUUUGGGCCUGGGACAGGACGAGACACCCGCUGCCCCCUCUCCCACGCCGCCCCAAACAGGACCCAGGAUCCAGUGGCCACCGCGGCGGCAGCAGGAGCAUGGCUGCAGCUGCGCAGCGGUGGCGAUAUUUAAAGGGGAUGCAGCCUAUCUGUCAGGAGUGGAGCGCGAGUCGGCUCAGCCAAUGCGCAUGCGCAAGGCGCGAGCGGUUUCUCCGGUCACAGUGGUUCCCACGGUUGUCUUAGAAACCAGGCCCCGAGGCUUGGCAGAGCAGGAGCCCUCUGUGGUAGUGCUUGGGUGUCCAGGCUCUGAGGCUAAGGCCUCACCUCUCUCCGGGUGGAAGGGAACGUCUCCGGAUGCCAGGAGUCGCAAUGGGCCGACCAUGAUGAUGAAACCCCAGGCGGAGAUGGGGGAAGCAGCACGGGAUCCCAGCUUCAGGCCUUCACGGACGGUGUUGGUUGGGAUGAAGAAAUGGGACCUGGGGAGGAGCAAAACCCAGAACUGCUGCCCACCACCCUCCCUGCCUGGUGCUUUCCUGGGAACAUGUGGGAGCCGCCACCUGGACCUUGGGACCUCCCAUCUGUAAUUGCAGGCCCCGGUCUGCCUGUGUGGAUGUGGAAUGUGUCACUCAGGUUCCUGGAGUCCUCCUGAGCUUGUCCAGCAGUGCUGCAUUCACUGAUGUGCUGAAAGAGGCCUAGGCUCGGACCUCUAGGAAUAUCCAAGGCAUCUUUUUACGCAGAAAACCACCCUCAUGCGGUCCUGGGGGCCUCUCUCCAUCUUCCUGGGGGUGAUGCAAUAGAGUAUAACUUCCAGGUUGCCGUGGCAGGCCAUGGGGAGUUGCCCCCGUUGGAGGGGCAGAGUGGUAUUUGUGGGGUGGUAGGAAUCAUUCAAUGCCCACCUGCAACCCCCUGGGCUCACAGCACACUCUUAAGGCCAGUGCUACCAGCUCCCUUGUGUGGAUAGAGGAGCUACGGCUCAGAAGCAUGCCCACAGCUCCCCCAGGACCCUGAGGCCAGCCUGUGGCAGGGCCUGUGAUUUGAACCCCUCUACGAGGCUUCAAAUCAGUGCUGUUUGUCCUGGCCUCAUAAAACCUGGCUGCCCAGUUGGGAUUGGUGUCACCUGCCUUGCUGAACUGGGCACUCCUUGGGAAGAGGGUGGGUGCUGUAAGAAGGCAGUGGAUCCUGGCUGUGCAACCUUCGCAGGUGGCUGAACCUCUCUGUCUCAGUUUGCUCAUCUGCAAAGGGGGCUGGGAUUCCUGCCUACAUGCAUGUGCUCAAGAGGGAAAGCUGGCCAGGCAUGGUGGCUCAUGCCUGUAAUCCCAGCACUUUGGGAGGCUGAGGUGGGCAGAUCACUUGAGGUCAGGAGUUCAAGACCAGCCUGGCCUAAAUGGCAAAACCCCAUCUCUACUGAAAAAAAAAAUACAAAAAUUAGCUGGACGUGGUGGCGGGUGCCUGUAAUCCUAGCUACUGGGGAGGCUGAAGCAGGAGAAUCGCUUGAAUCUGGGAGGUGAAGGUUGCAGUGAGCUGAGAUCCCACCAUUGCACUCCAGCCUGGGUGACAAGAGUGAAACUCCACCUCAAAAUAAAUAAAUAAAUAAAUAAAAUAAAGUAAAAGAGGGAAUGCUGAGAGCCGGGCGUGGCCUGUGGCUCUGUAGCUACUCAGGAGGCUGAGUCAGGAGGAUUGCUUUAGGCCAGAGAUUCCAGGCUGCAGUGAGCUAUGAUCAUGCCUGUGAACAGCUGCUAUAUUCUAGCCUGGGAAACACAGUGAGACCCUGUCUCUGAAAAAAUAAAAUAUUUUAAAAAGAGUG